AAAGUCUUCAAGUACUUCACCUAUAAGUACUGCCUAAAACACUGCAUUAUUCUCAUCCUCGAUCGCUUAUAUAUACUCUUUGAUCGAUCAUUCCUACAUGACUUGCAAAAUGGUAUUCUCCAAGAUUCAUUCUAAAGUAGUAAUGGUACUCAUGGCUCUUAUUGUAGCAAUCAUGUUGCUCCCUUGCUCUGAGGCAGCUUUGGCAAAUGCAAAGCCUGGACAAAGAGUACUAGGCCAAGUUCCAGUGAAAGUUCCUAGAGUUCAACCUCCUCCUCCUCCUCAUCUUCCUCCUCAUCUCCCAUUGGGACAAAGUGGAAGAGGAAGCUACUCUCAUCCCCCCUCGAAUUAUCCAUGAGAAAGGAGUGGCUAUAACGGCCAAGGAAAUAAUAUUAAAAUUUAUUUAUUUGCUGAAUAAAUAGUUGGUGUUAGAGAUGAUGGUGUGCACACAUAAUAUCAUGUAUUAGUCGUUGUAUUCAAAAUUUUAAAUCUGAUAGUAGGGUAUAAUAAGAUCAGCGUGGUGAUUAGAUUGUCAAGUCUUACGACUUGCGAUUACUAGCUUGUGUAAUGAUGUGCAAUCAAAGAAUGAUGACAAUAGGCUUUUUUCAAUACAAAAAUCUACUUUAAUAUCUUAUUUUGACA